CGAGUUCAACAACUUGUUCAAUGCUGCGAUGGCCAGCGACUCCUCCUUCGUACAGGAUGUUCUUGUUAAGCAGUGUGAUGUACUAUUUGGAGGUAUAAGUUCGCUGGUGGACGUGGGUGGCGGCACCGGGGGCAUUGCCAGAGCAAUUUCGGAGGAAUUCCCCCAUGUGAAGUGCAGUGUUCUAGAUCUGGCUCAUGUGGUGGAGGAAGCACCAAAGGAUGGGAGAGUAGAGUUCAUUGCGGGCG
rnacentral:misc_RNA from 1 species